CCAUUUUUAUACAAUAAAUUUUAAUUAUAUUUUACUUAAUUACCUCCUAAACGAGCUAUAGGGUCGAUUAAUUAUCUCGUAAAUCCAAAGGUUAAAAAAAAAAAAUUAUUGAUACAUUAUCGAUAUCAUAAUAUACUACUUACUUGUGAGUAAACAAACAAUGUUGAUUAACCUGAAGCCGCUCCUAGAAAAGGAUUUGUGGCAGUUAGUUGUGUUACUAAUUGAUUUGGGGCCAACAUGUUCUUUUGUGGUGGCAUUCUCCGUAAUGAUGAAUGCAGAGUUGUGGCGAUUUCAUUAUGACUUGGAAUUAACUUGAAGUAGAGGAUUUCGUCUAUAGUGAUUCAAAUAUACACUUUGAGUCACCAUAUCUACUUAUCAAGAGGUAUAUGUUUCUUGUGUUUCUUUUCAAAGUUUUUUUUAGCUUAUUUUGGGAAUUUAGCUCCUUUUGAUAAAAAACAAUGUUGAUAUUUUAGGAGUUUCAUAAUUUUAUUUCGGCUCAAUUUUAACCAACGACUAUUCCUAUUUUUAACGUAACAGAAGAAAUCAACAAAAGCAAUCUAGUGUAAAGGAGUGAUGACGUCACACUGGUGGUGGUAGUGCAGUGAUUGGCGACGGCGAAGCUUGUUCGAGUGUAAUCACGGCGGAAGGAGAUAGCGACAAACUCGCGGGUUCAAUCCUACCCAUCAUAAACCCUGCUCUC
rnacentral:lncRNA from 1 species